rnacentral:tRNA from 1 species
GGCUCGUUGGUCUAGGGGUAUGAUUCGUGCAUUGGGUGUGAAAGGUCCUGGGUUCAAAUCCCGGACGAGCCC